rnacentral:rRNA from 1 species
AUUGAACGCUGGCGGCAGGCCUAACACAUGCAAGUAGAACGAGUGGCAGACGGGUGAGUAAUGUAUGGGAACCUGCCUGAAGGAGGGGGAUAACUACUGGAAACGGUAGCUAAUCCCGCAUACCAUCAGAUGGACACAGAUGGGAUUCGCUUGUGGGUGGGGUAACGGCUAACGAGGGCGACGACCACUAGCUGGUCUGAGAGGAGGACUAGCCAAACUGGAACUGAGACACGGUCCAGACUCCUACGGGAGGCAGCAGGGGGGAAUAUUGGACAUGGGGGGAAAGCCGGAUGCAGCAAUGCCGGGUGUAGGAAGAAGGCCUCCGGGUGUGAAAGUAUGUUCAUCGGGGAGGCGUUACCCGCAGAAGAAGCACCGGCUAACUCCGUGCCAGCCGCCGCGGUAAUUC